rnacentral:rRNA from 1 species
GAAAGCACCGGCUAACUACGUGCCAGCAGCCGCGGUAAUACGUAGGGUGCGAGCGUUAAUCGGAAUUACUGGGCGUAAAGCGUGCGCAGGCGGUUUCGUAAGACAGACGUGAAAUCCCCGGGCUCAACCUGGGAACUGCGUUUGUGACUGCGAGGCUAGAGUACGGCAGAGGGGGGUAGAAGUUCCACGUGUAGCAGUGAAAUGCGUAGAGAUGUGGAGGAAUACCGAUGGCGAAGGCAGCCCCCUGGGUUAGUACUGACGCUCAUGCACGAAAGCGUGGGGGAGCAAACAGGAUUAGAUACCCUGGUAG